UAAUAUAGAUAGUUAUAGCCCUGCAUUAAUACAAUAUUAA
rnacentral:rRNA from 1 species